UACGUAGGAUCCGAGCGUUGUCCGGAUUUACUGGGUGUAAAGGGUGCGCAGGCGGACUGGUAAGUCAGAGGUGAAAUCUCGUCGUUCAACGACGAAACUGCCUUUGAUACUAUCAGUCUUGAAUCCGGUAGAGAUCUGUGGAAUUCCGAGUGUAGCAGUGAAAUGUGUAGAUAUUCGGAAGAACACCAGUGGCGAAGGCAGCAGAUUGGGCCGGUAUUGACGCUCAGGCACGAAAGCAUGGGGAUCAAACAGG
rnacentral:rRNA from 1 species